GAUGAACGCUGGCGGCGUGCCUAAUACAUGCAAGUCGAGCGAACAGACGAGGAGCUUGCUCCUCUGACGUUAGCGGCGGACGGGUGAGUAACACGUGGAUAACCUACCUAUAAGACUGGGAUAACUUCGGGAAACCGGAGCUAAUACCGGAUAAUAUAUUUAACCGCAUUGUUCAAUAGUGAAAGACGGUUUUGCUGUCACUUAUAGAUGAUCCGCGCCGCAUUAGCUAGUUGGUAAGGUAACGGCUUACCAAGGCAACGAUGCGUAGCCGACCUGAGAGGGUGAUCGGCCACACUGGAACUGAGACACGGUCCAGACUCCUACGGGAGGCAGCAGUAGGGAAUCUUCCGCAAUGGGCGAAAGCCUGACGGAGCAACGCCGCGUGAGUGAUGAAGGUCUUCGGAUCGUAAAACUCUGUUAUUAGGGAAGAACAAAUGUGUAAGUAACUAUGCACGUCUUGACGGUACCUAAUCAGAAAGCCACGGCUAACUACGUG
rnacentral:rRNA from 1 species